rnacentral:rRNA from 1 species
UACGUAGGGUGCAAACGUUGCUCGGAAUUAUUGGGCGUAAAGCGCACGUAGGCGGCUUUGCAAGUCUCAUGUGAAAUCCCACGGCUUAACCGUGGAAGUGCAUGGGAAACUGCAAGGCUUGAGUACUUAAGAGGAUCGCGGAAUUCCCGGUGUAGAGGUGAAAUUCGUAGAUAUCGGGAGGAACACCAGUGGCGAAGGCGGCGAUCUGGGAAGUUACUGACGCUGAGGUGCGAAAGCGUGGGGAGCAAACAGG